UUGGCUUGGCCAAGAAGUUUGUUUGGGUUUUUCCUAACAUUUUAUGGAAAAACUCGAACAAACUUUUGAGCUAACCGA
rnacentral:miRNA from 1 species